rnacentral:ncRNA from 1 species
AUGCCUAUCGAUCUUUAGUCUGUGAGUAACAGCUAGAGGGUCAGAAAAGUACCACAGGAUAACUGCUGUGCAGCAGCGUCAUAGCGACGUGCUUUUGAUCUUCGAUGUCGGCUCUUCUAUCAUGAGACGCAGAAGUCUCAAAGUGUCGGAUUGUUCACCCGCCAAUAGGGAACGUGAGCUGGGUUUAGACCGUCGUGAGACAGGUUAGUUUUACCCUACUGACAAAGUAGAUACUGCGACAGUAGUCGAAGUUAGUACGAGAGGAACACUUCGUCCAGAUACUUGGUUAAUGCCGUUGUCUGAAAAGACAGUACGGCGAAGCUACCAUCUGCUGGAUUACGGCUGAACGCCUCUAAGCCGGAAUCCAUGCUGGAUAAGCAGUGUUGUACACCGUGCUCAAUGCUACAAGAAAAAGGCUAGGUCAGGCUUCGGCCUGACCAAAAUUCAAGCUGCUAUACCUCUGGCUGCAUUGACUUGUGGUCAGAGUGUAUGGUGAUCAUAGCAAUUGCAAGUAUUGGGCUCGAUAAAUCCUUUGAAGACGACUUAAUUGCAUCCGGGUAUUGUAAGUGUUGAGAGUAGGCUUAGUCUUACGAUCCACUGAGAUUCAUCCCGUGUUGCGCCGAUUUGU